rnacentral:rRNA from 1 species
AGCGUCUGGAAAGGCGCGCGAUACAGGGUGACAGCCCCGUACACAAAAAUGCACAUAUUGUGAGCUCGAUGAGUAGGGCGGGACACGUGGUAUCCUGUCUGAAUAUGGGGGGACCAUCCUCCAAGGCUAAAUACUCCUGACUGACCGAUAGUGAACCAGUACCGUGAGGGAAAGGCGAAAAGAACCCCGGCGAGGGGAGUGAAAAAGAACCUGAAACCGUGUACGUACAAGCAGUGGGAGCACGCUUAGGCGUGUGACUGCGUACCUUUUGUAUAAUGGGUCAGCGACUUAUAUUCUGUAGCAAGGUUAACCGAAUAGGGGAGCCGAAGGGAAACCGAGUCUUAACUGGGCGUUAAGUUGCAGGGUAUAGACCCGAAACCCGGUGAUCUAGCCAUGGGCAGGUUGAAGGUUGGGUAACACUAACUGGAGGACCGAACCGACUAAUGUUGAAAAAUUAGCGGAUGACUUGUGGCUGGGGGUGAAAGGCCAAUCAAACCGGGAGAUAGCUGGUUCUCCCCGAAAGCUAUUUAGGUAGCGCCUCGUGAACUCAUCUCCGGGGGUAGAGCACUGUUUCGGCAAGGGGGUCAUCCCGACUUACCAACCCGAUGCAAACUGCGAAUACCGGAGAAUGUUAUCACGGGAGACACACGGCGGGUGCUAACGUCCGUCGUGAAGAGGGAAACAACCCAGACCGCCAGCUAAGGUCCCAAAGUCAUGGUUAAGUGGGAAACGAUGUGGGAAGGCCCAGACAGCCAGGAUGUUGGCUUAGAAGCAGCCAUCAUUUAAAGAAAGCGUAAUAGCUCACUGGUCGAGUCGGCCUGCGCGGAAGAUGUAACGGGGCUAAACCAUGCACCGAAGCUGCGGCAGCGACGCUUAUGCGUUGUUGGGUAGGGGAGCGUUCUGUAAGCCUGUGAAGGUGUGCUGUGAGGCAUGCUGGAGGUAUCAGAAGUGCGAAUGCUGACAUAAGUAACGAUAAAGCGGGUGAAAAGCCCGCUCGCCGGAAGACCAAGGGUUCCUGUCCAACGUUAAUCGGGGCAGGGUGAGUCGACCCCUAAGGCGAGGCCGAAAGGCGUAGUCGAUGGGAAACAGGUUAAUAUUCCUGUACUUGGUGUUACUGCGAAGGGGGGACGGAGAAGGCUAUGUUGGCCGGGCGACGGUUGUCCCGGUUUAAGCGUGUAGGCUGGUUUUCCAGGCAAAUCCGGAAAAUCAAGGCUGAGGCGUGAUGACGAGGCACUACGGUGCUGAAGCAACAAAUGCCCUGCUUCCAGGAAAAGCCUCUAAGCAUCAGGUAACAUCAAAUCGUACCCCAAACCGACACAGGUGGUCAGGUAGAGAAUACCAAGGCGCUUGAGAGAACUCGGGUGAAGGAACUAGGCAAAAUGGUGCCGUAACUUCGGGAGAAGGCACGCUGAUAUGUAGGUGAAGCGACUU